UACGUAGGGUGCGAGCGUUGUCCGGAAUUAUUGGGCGUAAAGGGCUCGUAGGCGGUUUGUCGCGUCGGGAGUGAAAACGCCGUGCUUAACACGGCGCUUGCUUUCGAUACGGGCAGACUAGAGGUAUGCAGGGGGGAACGGAAUUCCUGGUGUAGCGGUGAAAUGCGCAGAUAUCAGGAGGAACACCGGUGGCGAAGGCGGUUCUCUGGGCAUUACCUGACGCUGAGGGGCGAAAGUGUGGGGAGCGAACAGG
rnacentral:rRNA from 1 species